AGUGAACGCUGGCGGCAGGCCUAAUACAUGCAAGUCGAACGGCAGCACAGUGGAGCUUGCUCCAUGGGUGGCGAGUGGCGGACGGGUGAGGAAUACAUGGGAAUCUGCCCAGUCGUGGGGGAUAACGUAGGGAAACUUACGCUAAUACCGCAUGCGCCCUUCGGGGAAAGCCGGGGACCGUAAGGCCUGGCGCGAUUGGAUGAGCCCAUGUCGGAUUAGCUAGUUGGCGGGGUAACGGCCCACCAAGGCGACGAUCCGUAGCUGGUCUGAGAGGAUGAUCAGCCACACUGGAACUGAGACACGGUCCAGACUCCUACGGGAGGCAGCAGUAGGGAAUAUUGGACAAUGGGCGCAAGCCUGAUCCAGCCAUGCCGCGUGAGUGAAGAAGGCCCUCGGGUUGUAAAGCUCUUUUGUCCGGAAAGAAAAGCACUGGGUUAAUACCCCGGUGUCCUGACGGUACCGGAAGAAUAAGCACCGGCUAACUCGUGCCAGCAGCCG
rnacentral:rRNA from 1 species